AUGCAUUACAACCAAGCUCUAUUUAAACAGUUAUGCUUUCUACUCACUGUUAAUUUAUAUUAUUAUCUGAUUCCUUUUCUCUUUUUUGUUUGUUUGUUUGUUUGUUUUAAGUUUCUCAGAGGAGAAUGCUGUCUUGUCAGAAAGAUAACUUGUCUCCCCAAAUUGAUCAGCGGUGGCGUGAUUCUGUUAGAAGACAUGUGCAACAAAAGCCAAAGUGGGAGUGAAAUACAUGACUAUUCUAAGACCUAAUAAGUAGUGUCAUGAUCCAGUCUAAACUUAAAGGUAAAAAGUUUGAGCAUUUAGUGGGUUAAAAUACACUGAGAAAUAAGACUAUGUCAUAAUGAUAUUUACUGUUGAAAAGCUAUCUGUCUUUCUGUUUGUGAACAAGCUGGAAAUUUCAAAAAAUAUGCUAGUUCAUUUUCUACUUUAUUUUGAAUUAGUGGAGAAUGAACAAUGGGAAAAUUCAGUUCGGUGAAGGUUAUAAAAAAUGUAUUAAUAUGCAGAAUGUUCACUGACUGUGGAGAAAGAAGUAAUAUUUGUCCCUUAAACUAUACCAAUUUAUAGUACUAUUGUUGAAAAGAAGCAAAUUCUUCUAGGAAGUAUUUUCUUCUGGAAUAUCUUUUUUUUUUUUUUUUUUUUUUUUUUUUUUUUUUCUCCCCUAAUUUCCUGUUAAUUUCAUUUAGCAGUUCUUUGAGACACCAGUACUGGAUGCACAUUAAGAAAGCCAGAGGUGGCUACAGAGGAGAUCCAAAAUGUAUGUCGAUUGCUGCCAUUUUACUUGGGGAAUAAGCAGUUUACUAUCCUUCCAAAAUAAUUCCUGUACAAUCACACUAUUAUCAGGAGUUAUGCUAUGACAAAAUUACAGAAGAAAUUGUAACAUAGAUUCUUAAUCAUAAAAUCAUAGAACUAUUUGAGUUAGAAGGGACCUCAAAAUAUCAUCUGUGAUGAACAGGGAUAUCUUCAGCUAGAUUGGGUUAUUCAGAACCUUGUUCAGCAAUUUACUGAUGACAAAUAUAUCCCAUUUAACACAGAGGCUCAUAUGUUACAUACAUUUAUUUGGAAGUGAUUUAAAAAAAAAAAAUUAAAAUAUGAGGAAAAUAUUAAUCAUCUUCCUGCAAAUUAUCAUCCUCCAAUUAUUAUUUUUUCCAUAAAAUAUCUACUUUCAGAACAUGGUGCUAUAAUAGCAAACAGUGGGCAUGGCUAGGGAGCAAAGCCUUGCUAAAACUUGCAAAUAAUGCAUCAGGGAAUAAAACAAAAUCUAUUUAUCA
rnacentral:lncRNA from 1 species